GUAAACUAAUUUUUUUAUAAAAAUGGCUUCUGAAAAUUUACAUAUAUCUAAUUUAAAUUUUUAUUUUUAAGAACCUUAAAAAUAUAAUUGUAAAAUUAUGCUACCCUUUUAUUCCUUUUACAGUGGAAUAACUUUACUUAUAAAUAACCCUCGAAAACCUGAGUUAAAAUGUUAAGCUUUCUAUGAAAAAAAGGUUCUUACUUUUAUAGUUUGUAUGUGGGUAUAGCCACUGUUGUAAGUAGUGUUGUAUUAAAUAAUCUUAUUAUAUAAUAAUGUCAAUUGUUGGGAACACAAAGUUCGGAAGGUAGGAUACAGAAAAGAAUUCAAUGUAUACCUGGAAGCAAUGAUAAACCAUUGCCAAUGAAAAAACAAUUCUAAGUAGAGUUUAAUUGAUAGCGUUGCUUUGUUAACAAUAUACAUGUCAUUAAAGGAUAAUGCAUAAUAUUGAAUAAAACUUACCCAGUUAACACACACGUUUUUAUGUAUGUAGUAAAAAUAUUUUACUAUUCUAAGAUUUCAUUUUUGUUAUUGAUUUAGAGUAAUUGUAUUUAAUUAAUUUAAUUACAUCAGACCAGAU